rnacentral:rRNA from 1 species
AGCAGCCGCGGUAAUUCCAGCUCCAAUAGCGUAUAUUAAAGUUGUUGCAGUUAAAAAGCUCGUAGUUGAAUUUCGGGAUUGGCGCAUCGGUCGUGCCUCACGGGGUAUGAACUGGUGCAGUCAAUUUCUCACCUUCUGGAGAACCGCGAUGUCCUUAAUUGGAUGCCGCGGGGAACCAGGACCUUUACUUUGAAAAAUUAGAGUGUUUAAAGCAGGCAUUUUUGCUUGAAUACAUUAGCAUGGAAUAAUAAAAUAGGACGGCAUGGUUCUAUUUUGUUGGUUUCUAGGACCACCGUAAUGAUUAAUAGGGAUAGUUGGGGGCAUUAGUAUUCAAUUGUCAGAGGUGAAAUUCUUGGAUUUAUUGAAGACUAACUACUGCGAAAGCAUUUGCCAAGGAUGUUUUCAUUAAUCAAGAACGAAAGUUAGGGGAUCGAAGACGAUCAGAUACCGUCGUAGUCUUAACCAUAAACUAUGCCGACUAGGAAUCAGACGAUGUUAAUUUUUAAUGAACUCGUU